UGGGGAAUAUUGCACAAUGGGCGAAAGCCUGAUGCAGCGACGCCGCGUGAGGGAUGACGGCCUUCGGGUUGUAAACCUCUUUCAGCAGGGAAGAAGCGAAAGUGACGGUACCUGCAGAAGAAGCGCCGGCUAACUACGUGCCAGCAGCCGCGGUAAUACGUAGGGCGCAAGCGUUGUCCGGAAUUAUUGGGCGUAAAGAGCUCGUAGGCGGUUAGUCGCGUCUGCUGUGAAAACUCGAGGCUCAACCUCGGGCUUGCAGUGGGUACGGGCUGACUAGAGUGCGGUAGGGGUGACUGGAAUUCCUGGUGUAGCGGUGGAAUGCGCAGAUAUCAGGAGGAACACCGAUGGCGAAGGCAGGUCACUGGGCCGCAACUGACGCUGAGGAGCGAAAGCAUGGGGAGCGAACAGGAUUAGAUACCCUGGUAGUCCAUGCCGUAAACGUUGGGCACUAGGUGUGGGUCCAUUCCACGGAUUCCGUGCCGCAGCAAACGCAUUAAGUGCCCCGCCUGGGGAGUACGGCCGC
rnacentral:rRNA from 1 species